rnacentral:rRNA from 1 species
AUUGCACGCUGGCGGCAGGCUUAACACAUGCAAGUCGAGCGAGCGGCGGACGGGUGAGUAAUGUCUGGGAAACUGCCUGAUGGAGGGGGCUAACUACUGGAAACGGUAGCUAAUACCGCAUACCAUCAGAUGUGCCCAGAUGGGAUUAGCUAGUAGGUGGGGGAAUGGCUCACCUAGGCGACGAUCCCUAGCUGGUCUGAGAGGAGGGCCAGCCACACUUGACCUGAGACACGGUCCAGACGCCUACGGGAGGGAGCAGUGGGGAAGAUUGCACAAUGGGCGCAAGCCUGAUGCAGCAAUGCCGCGUGUGUGAAGAAGGCCUUCGGGUUGUAAAGCACUUUCAGCGAUGAGGCGUUACUCGCAGAAGAAGCACCGGCUAACUCCGUGCCAGCAGCCGCGGUAAUUC